CCUACGGGUGGCAGCAGUGAGGAAUAUUGGUCAAUGGACGAGAGUCUGAACCAGCCAAGUCGCGUGAAGGAUGACUGCCCUCUGGGUUGUAAACUUCUUUUAUAUGGGAAUAAAAUGUUCCACGUGUGGGAUUUUGUAUGUACCAUAUGAAUAAGGAUCGGCUAACUCCGUGCCAGCAGCCGCGGUAAUACGGAGGAUCCGAGCGUUAUCCGGAUUUAUUGGGUUUAAAGGGAGCGUAGGUGGAUUGUUAAGUCAGUUGUGAAAGUUUGCGGCUCAACCGUAAAAUUGCAGUUGAAACUGGCAGUCUUGAGUACAGUAGAGGUGAGCGGAAUUCGUGGUGUAGCGGUGAAAUGCUUAGAUAUCACGAAGAACUCCGAUUGCGAAGGCAGUUCACUGGACUGCAACUGACACUGAGGCUCGAAAGUGUGGGUAUCAAACAGGAUUAGAUACCCGAGUAGUC
rnacentral:rRNA from 1 species